GUCUACGGACAUGUCACAGAGUGAAAGAGGAAGAUGUCAUUGCAUAAUCUCCGGUAGAAGGAUACUUAUAUGUCUAUGUGUUUUAUGAUAUAUUGACAGAUCUUGUAGCUUUUGUGUUGACUCUCGUCACAGGAGAUGGAGAUGAAGAUAACCAUCCUGGUACUAAUCUCUCACGGCUGCAGCCAUCGAAUGGAAAGGUUGGUCAGGGGGGCAGGUUGAGAUGGGAACAUGGUGUAGAGAAUGCUGGUGGGAACGCAAUAAAAUACAGAUUGCCUACUGGGCUGACAGUACCUUCAAGCUGGAACCAGGUUACAAUCUGACUAGUGGGGAAAGCUGGACCACCCUGGUAAUCAACAAUGUCACCAAGGAAGAUGCUGGGAACUACACCUGUCAGAUGCACGACUACCUGACUCAGGCAGCACAGUUCAUGGUUCUCUCUUCACUGCUCCCAACCUGCACCACUACAGCCCCGUCGAUGAGAAUGGAGGUGUGCCGGGUUCUUCUUUUCCUGUAGACCACAAUCAUCUUAUUUGUCCUGAUCAUGUUGAAGGAGAGGUUGUUGUCCUGGCACCAGGGCUCCCGAGUGACGCAGUGGUUUAAGGCACUGUAUCUCAGUGCUAUAGCUGUCACUACAGACACCCUGGUUCGAUUCCAGGCUGUAU